rnacentral:rRNA from 1 species
GUAGUCCACGCCCUAAACGAUGUCGACUGGUUGUUGGGGGUUUGACACUCUCAGUAACGAAGCUAACGCGUGAAGUCGACCGCCUGGGGAGUACGGCCGCAAGGUUAAAACUCAAAGGAAUUGACGGGGACCCGCACAAGCGGUGGAUUAUGUGGAUUAAUUCGAUGCAACGCGAAAAACCUUACCUACCCUUGACAUGUCCGAGAGCCCGCAGAGAUGUGGGUGUGCCCGAAAGGGAAUCGGAACACAGGUGCUGCAUGGCUGUCGUCAGCUCGUGUCGUGAGAUGUUGGGUUAAGUCCCGCAACGAGCGCAACCCUUGUCAUUAGUUGCUACAUUCAGUUGGGCACUCUAAUGAGACUGCCGGUGACAAACCGGA